CGACCAGGCAGGAGGCGAAGGUAGCCGAGUCCCUCCUCCCUUUCCUUUCGCCCCGCCUUCCCACCCCGGGCCAAGCGGCGGGCUGCCGAGCGGGGAGGAGGAGGAAGGAGGAGGAGGAAGGGGGCGGGCCGGCAGCCGGGGCCGGGAGGGUAAAAUGGCGGCGGCUGCUGCUGCUGCGGCUCCGCGCGCGCCUGGGGUUGGGCGGGAAGCGCGUUUCCCUGCCCUCUUCCCGCCUCCCGCCAGGGGGGAAUCUGCUCCAAUAACGCGCACACGCUGCUCUGACAGGGACGGAGCAGCGGCGUCGCCUGCUCUGCUUACAGCGACCGGCUGCCACCACAGGAGUCCCCCUGCCCGCCCCCGCGGGUGCCCUGAAGCCGUGCUACCACCGUAUCUUCGCUUUCCCGCCGCGCUCGCCUCUUUCCGGGCUGCCGGAGGAUGAUUCCCGAGGCAGAUUAGGGCGGCUCUCCGCUGAGCGGGACGUCGGUUUUGAGGGCUGCCCGGUUAUUCUCUCCUUAUUAUUAAAUAUGCUGGCCCAGCUGGAGACGUCCUAGAGCACCGGCGGAAGGCGGCGGGCUGGCGCGAAGGCCCUUUGGGACCUCCGGCCUGAAGGGAGCGCUUAGCACACGCUGCCGAGCUCCCGCGGGUGCCUGACGGGCACGCAGCGUAGGAAGGAAGCUUCUUAUUUCUAGGCGGGUUUUCAGGUCUUUCGUCUUUUUGGUAGUUAACUGGCGUUUUCCGCCGGCGAGGCGCGGGACGGAAGAGUUGUCAGCCAUCUCCUUCCCGCCCAGCCCCGGCUGAGGGGAGCCGAAGGGGCCGGCGCGUUUGGGCACUUCCGAUCCCGGCCUCAUGAAAAUAAACCUUUCUAGUGCUGUGAUAGUGUUUUACGCUAAUAAUUAAAUUAUUUUUACCUCAUAGUUUUUGUUUUUUUCAUCCCCCUUUGACAGUGAUUUAUUCUGCACAAUAACUGUCUAAUGGCAAGUACAGCGCACCUGUGACUAGUGGGGAAUACCACCUUUUCAUGAGAAGACAAGUCUACCUCUUAAAAAUAAACGAUAGGACUUCACUUAAAUUAGGAUUUCUGAGAAUAACAAAGGACACCAAUACAAGAGAGGAUGACGACUACGCCUUUCACAACUUGUCUGUACAAUAUGCCACAUGCUGUUUUCUGAAUCAUAUCAGUCUUCAUUUGCCAGAAUAUCCUUUACUUUUUACCAUUAUCAAAAAUGAAGUUACUGAAGUUGGAAGACAGAGCUGUACAAAGAGAAGCUGAGAAAGCAUCUUAACUAUAUCCCACCAAAAUAAUAUAAAACCUGUAUCUCCAAGAAGUCAAGCUUAUUUGCUUCUUUCACCUUUCAGAUCAUAUUGCACAGGUAUUCCCGCUAGCAUAGAAUGAAUCAGUGGCUAUAUGAGUUGUUUGUGUCUGGAAAAAGACCGCAUUUUUUUUGACAGAAAGCAUAGUUGCACACUCUCCAUAACUUGAUUUAAAUUUGCACAUUUCUUUCCCCUCUUCCUUCCUUAUACAGACCUUACAGUGAAUUUUAUAACACAACCAAAAUUAACUGUCAAAACAUCUUAAAAGAUUGUUUUUCUGACAAAUCAACUCUUUGAUCCGAUUGCAGCACCACAUAAACACCGGAGUCAGCACAAGGAAGGGGCCUUUUGAAGCAUGGUAUCACAUGCCAAGUUCAAUGAAUACAACAGCAGAGUAUGGGUGACCUUGAGUCACUCCUACUUUUGUGCAGACUGGAAUAUUGCCAGCCAAAUUCUUUUUACUGCGCACAAUCUUUUAUAUAUAUAUAUAGAUUAAAUCGCAUUUUUUUUUCUUUUAAAUUAAAUAUUGGCUUCCAAGCAGAAGACAUUCCUGGUUACAGCGAUCAUCAGCCUCCCACUCAGAAUUCUAUGUGUCGCUUUUUUUCUCUUGACCUUUAUUCUAUCCUCAUGUGCCAUCCUUACAAGGUUGUUUGAUCCCCAGGAGGCCCUCUUUCCUUCCCUUGACUGCAGUGCUCCUGAUCUGGAAAUAUUUGCUCUGGUAAACUGCCAGCACAGUUCUUCUAGAGGAAUAACUUAGAUAAAUGCAAGAGCUGAGGAAAACUAAAAUUCUAAAUCCAAAUUUAGGACUGGAUUAAGAGUUUGAGGAAAAUAUAUACUUUCUAAAAUUAAUGGCAUCCCAACACUUAACUAAUACUGUAGCCCUGGCUUUCUUUAGGGUAGAGUUAACCAUUCCCCCACCCUGCCCCUCAAAAAACCCCCCCACAAAACACUACCAAAAAUACCCCCCAAAACCUCAUAAGCCAAAACCAACAACAACCCUGAGGUAGAUUAGGGCUUGAGGGAGUAAGGCUGGUCACUGCCCCUGUUCUUUUUUUGGGACACUUCAGCCACUCCUAGCCUGCCUCGUACUUCAUAUUUUUACGCUUUCAUUCAAUGUAUAUACAUAUUUAGUUGGUCAUUUGACUUCAUUAUAGUAAUUGUGGAAUGUAAAAAUACAAUGAAAACUUUUUUUUUUUUUUACAUUAUUCAUGUCAACUACUUCAACCAGAGCUUUGUCUGAUGUGGGGAUGACUGAAUUAUCUUCUGUUUGAACUUUCUGUUGCUCUGCUGCAGGUUCCCAUUCCCAUAGCAGCAACAGCCAAAUGGAUUGCAUGAUUGUUCCUCUGCUGCCACAAUUUACAACAAAAGGCAAACUACCAGUGACUUCAGCAGAUGCUAAGAGCUGUGACAGUUGGAAAGCAAGUAAUUUCUGCUAUACAGAAGAUAGUGUCAAAAAGGUGAAUUCCAGCCAGUCCAGUUGUAUCUGUGACCUCUGGUCUGGAAUGAUGCUGGAGAUGGUUGGAACUCAUUGCCUAGGAAGUCAGUCUCUGCCUGUAAAAUGUAAAGUUACCAACAAAGCCUGGCUGAAGCGCAACAGAAUCAGUUUAAAUUUACACACUUUAAAGUUUCAGUACUUGGAUUUCAAAAUGAAGCUGUCUUCUAGUUAUAGUUCCAUUGCUCUAGCUAUUAGCAUUUAAACUUUUUAAUGUGGUUCACAGCUAACUGGACUUUGUUGAAGACAGCUUCAAUUAGUUUCAUUUACCCCAAAUAUUAAAGCAGCCACUCAAAAUAAGUUCUUAUCCUAUUGGGCCAAAACACAUGUGUGUUUCGAUCUUCCUUUUGAUUAUCUCAUUCUAUAAAGUAGCUAUCAGAUGACUCAUCAUCCCUUUGAUGUGCAAGGAAGACAACAGGUAGUUUUCUGAGCAUGAGUGACAGUGCCAUCAGGAGCUGAACCAUCUUACCAAAGUGCAGACAGCUUUUUUUUUUUUGUACAUUUGGACCUCUUUUGGACUUUUUACUGGUAAAGCAUGUCUUUACAAUGUUCCUUUGAAGAGCUUUGCUUGUGUGAUUGCACAGUUGCAAGUUUCAAGUUACCCUGAAAGCAAACCGCUCAGAGGUAAAGCUCUGGGAAAAGAGUUCACAAGCUCAUUGCAAAGCUCUGAGAAGUUCAUAAAACCAGUUAUGAAGGUUGAUGCAAAAAUGCUUAAGCCAGAUCUUAUACUAAAGAGAUGCCACGAGAGAAAGCUGGUCAUUACUGCCUGGUUAUCAGUACAUGUGUUAAAAUAACGAGCAGUGGUAGUUAAGUGCGCUGCAGUCAGCUCUUUGCAGCACACACACACACUUAACAUCGUUCCAUGGUCACAUCACACAAUUUUAACUCCUCCAACCUAAAUUGGCCGAUCCUUCCUGAUAGUCUUCACUGACAUUACAGAAUCCAGGAAAGACUACAGACUUCUCAGAACUCAGAAAAAAACUGAGACUAUUUUAAGACGACUCAAUAUUUAAAAGGUGUUCACAAUAAAAAACCCAGGCCCCUCGACAUAAUUUGAUGGGGGACUUGGAAGAGACUAUCCAAUGUACUGCCUAGGAAAAUAUGCUGUUUAAUUUUGAAGUUGCAAGGGGUAAAUAAAAGUGAA